ACAGCAGCAGCCGCGGGAAUACAGAGGGUGCAAGCGUUAAUCGGAAUUACUGGGCGUAAAGCGCGCGUAGGUGGUUUGUUAAGUUGGAUGUGAAAUCCCCGGGCUCAACCUGGGAACUGCAUCCAAAACUGGCAAGCUAGAGUAUGGUAGAGGGUGGUGGAAUUUCCUGUGUAGCGGUGAAAUGCGUAGAUAUAGGAAGGAACACCAGUGGCGAAGGCGACCACCUGGACUGAUACUGACACUGAGGUGCGAAAGCGUGGGGAGCAAACAGGAUUAGAUACCCGCGUAGUCCCUGUCUCUUAUAC
rnacentral:rRNA from 1 species